CACUAAAGAAAACUGACUGACUUAUCAUCUGGCCCACUUCCUAAAGAAAAAUCAUCUGAGUCAGAAAAAGUAACAAGAUGCAGCAUAUGAGGAGCAGGGAUAGGAUUCAAGGUCUGAACUGCACUCUAGGACUGCUCCCGAGACACAGACCGAACGCUGAAUCUCCAGCUGCCUGUGACUGGAAUUCAAGAGAAUCUUGAGUAGCAUGGUCAGAUCAGCUUUCCAGUGUGUUUCCAAAGCAUUGUGCUGGUAGAGCAACUGACUGUUUGGACAUAGAGAUGAUGUAAAAGCCAAAUUCUUGUGCUGGCAAUGCACAGAAGAGAGGAGGAAGUCUAUAGAACUAAUGAGGUACAGGCUCCAAGCUCCAUGGCUGUACUCACUAGGGCACCAGCUGCACUGACCUGGGAAGGGAUGCUACCUGGAAAGUUGCCAUCUUAUCUUUCUUCCACUUCAGGCACG